UGUGCCGCAAGGCGCUCUUAUGCUGUACCCGCAGCGUAGAGGCUAGAACCCUCAUCGGACUUCUAAUUAAAGGAGAAAACAAUG
rnacentral:ncRNA from 1 species